AGCGAACGCUGGCGGCAGGCCUAACACAUGCAAGUCGAACGAACCCUUCGGGGUUAGUGGCGGACGGGUGAGUAACACGUGGGAACGUGCCUUUAGGUUCGGAAUAACUCAGGGAAACUUGUGGUAAUGCCGAAUGUGCCCUUCGGGGGAAAGAUUUAUCGCCUUUAGAGCGGCCCGCGUCUGAUUAGCUAGUUGGUGAGGUAAAGGCUCACCAAGGCGACGAUCAGUAGCUGGUCUGAGAGGAUGACCAGCCACAUUGGGACUGAGACACGGCCCAAACUCCUACGGGAGGCAGCAGUGGGGAAUCUUGCGCAAUGGGCGAAAGCCUGACGCAGCCAUGCCGCGUGAAUGAUGAAGGUCUUAGGAUUGUAAAAUUCUUUCACCGGGGACGAUAAUGACGGUACCCGGAGAAGAAGCCCCGGCUAACUUCGUGCCAGCCGCCGCAGUAAAAC
rnacentral:rRNA from 1 species